rnacentral:rRNA from 1 species
AUUAUGGAGAGUUUGAUCCUGGCUCAGGAUGAACGCUGGCGGCGUGCCUAAUACAUGCAAGUCGAGCGAAUUGACAGAGGUGCUUGCACCUCUCGAUUUUAGCGGCGGACGGGUGAGUAACACGUGGGUAACCUACCUAUAAGACUGGGAUAACUUCGGGAAACCGGAGCUAAUACCGGAUAAUAUUUAGCUUCGCAUGAAGCAAUAGUGAAAGACGGUUCUGCUGUCACUUAUAGAUGGACCUGCGGUGUAUUAGCUAGUUGGUGAGGUAACGGCUCACCAAGGCAACGAUACAUAGAGGGAAUCUUCCGCAAUGGACGAAAGUCUGACGGAGCAACGCCGCGUGAGUGAAGAAGGUUUUCGGAUCGUAAAACUCUGUUGUAAGGGAAGAACAAGUACGUUAGUAACUGAACGUACCUUGACGGUACCUUACCAGAAAGCCACGGCUAACUACGUGCCAGCAGCCGCGGUAAUACGUAGGUGGCAAGCGUUAUCCGGAAUUAUUGGGCGUAAAGCGCGCGUAGGCGGUCUCUUAAGUCUGAUGUGAAAGCCCCCGGCUCAACCGGGGAGGGAUUGGAAACUGGGAGACUUGAGUACAGAAGAGGAGAGUGGAAUUCCAUGUGUAGCGGUGAAAUGCGCAGAGAUAUGGAGGAACACCAGUGGCGAAGGCGGCUCUCUGGUCUGUAACUGACGCUGAGGUGCGAAAGCGUGGGGAUCAAACAGGAUUAGAUACCCUGGUAGUCCACGCCGUAAACGAUGAGUGCUAAGUGUUGGGGGGUUUCCGCCCCUCAGUGCUGCAGCUAACGCAUUAAGCACUCCGCCUGGGGAGUACGGUCGCAAGACUGAAACUCAAAGGAAUUGACGGGGACCCGCACAAGCGGUGGAGCAUGUGGUUUAAUUCGAAGCAACGCGAAGACCUUACCAAAUCUUGACAUCCUUUGACAACUCUAGAGAUAGAGCUUUCCCCUUCGGGGGACAAAGUGACAGGUGGUGCAUGGUUGUCGUCAGCUCGUGUCGUGAGAUGUUGGGUUAAGUCCCGCAACGAGCGCAACCCUUAUCUUUAGUUGCCAUCAUUAAGUUGGGCACUCUAGAGAGACUGCCGGUGACAAACCGGAGGAAGGUGGGGAUGACGUCAAAUCAUCAUGCCCCUUAUGAUUUGGGCUACACACGUGCUACAAUGGAUGGUACAAAGAGGCAGCAAAACCGCGAGGUCAAGCAAAUCCCAUAAAACCAUUCUCAGUUCGGAUUGUAGUCUGCAACUCGACUACAUGAAGCUGGAAUCGCUAGUAAUCGUAGAUCAGCAUGCUACGGUGAAUACGUUCCCGGGUCUUGUACACACCGCCCGUCACACCACGAGAGUUUGUAACACCCGAAGCCGGUGGAGUAACCUUUUAGGAGCUCCCAGCCGUCGAAGCGCGGUGGGACAGAUGAUUGGGGUGAAGUCGUAACAAGGUAGCCGUAUCGGAAGGUGCGGCUGGAUCACCUCCUUU